GUGAAUCAUCAAAUCUUUGAACGCAAAUUGCACUCUCCACGGAGAGUAUGCCUGUUUGAGGGUCAGCCUAUAUAAAAUCUACAUCGUUGUUGUUUUGUGGUGGCGUUCGUUGGAAAUUGGGUCAUCUUCAGUAUAUUGGGUUUAAGCGACUUAAAAUUUUCUUUUUGGUUCCAUGAACGUUUCUAAGAUUUAUUUCUUUACACGUCAAUGGUAUCGAUUUUUAUUAGACGUGACCUUCAUAUCGGAUCGCGCCCAUAAUCUUUCAUUACCUGAC
rnacentral:misc_RNA from 1 species